AUGAUGAAGGUUCGAUCCCCAAAGGCUCCUCGGUCAUCGUCAGGAGAAUCCCAAUCAUCGGAGGAAAGUCCAGCUCACACAAGACCCGCCACAUUGAGCGAUCAGACCUCCAGACUAACCACGCCUUUGGAGCCUUCAAAGCAGUACGUAACCAAACCAAAAUCCCACUGCACCUCUUCUCCUGAAUCUCCACUAAACACACACAUUGUUGUCGUUAACAUGGCCUAAUAUCUGUGCUUGAACAGGAAUGUGUGCUUUGGUUUUUGAAACGCACGAAACCAUGAUCUAAUAUUAAAAGCCUCUAUUGCCGUUUAAGUUCCUGUUGCAAAGAGGAAGUAGUGCGCUUGUCAGGAUUUGAUUUACAGGGAGCCGCUGCUCUGAGCGGAACCAUAUUUUACAAUGACAAUAAAUAAAAUAAGAUAUUAAAAAGUAAAGUUUGCAGUUAGACCGUUUACAAUUUAACCAGUGUUGUAUUACUAACCAUAAAGGAAAGUAUAUAUUCUCUCUAAUAAUGGCUGUCAGCUGGUCAUCUAACAAGCUGCUGUGUCAUCACAAUAUCAUUCAGUAGCUAUCUGUGGUGGGAGCUGCUCGGGCGGGUCAAAGAAUUAUCAUGCCGGCCAGCUAUCCACAGCUGAUAAAACCAACUGUUGAUUUAUGAGCUGCUAAUAUAACAGUCACUGCCGAGUAGCCUCUUAUCCAUGAGCUGCUUUCAGACGUCUUAUUACAUUUGGAGAUGUCUAUAUUAGUAGCCUCUUUUGAUAUCUGUGUAGCUUGCACUGGUGUAAAUCUUUAAAUACAAUUUUAAUUUAAGAUGUUUUUUUUAUUUAGUAUAUUGAAUCUCAUUCAGUUGCCAGAUAUGACUGGAGUAAAACAAUCACAAAAGAACGUCACAAAAUUCAAAUUUAGUAGAAGGGUAAUCUAAUAGUACUCUUGUGAAGUGAGCACAUGCCGAGGAAAUGUGUCGUCAACACCCACCAAACUCUUCUUAUCGGGUAAAGAAGUUAAUGUCGUGAAGGUUUGUAACAUUGUUUGAAUGUUUUGAAAUGUAAACUAAACACUACCUCCCUUAAAACGUGAAAAGGGUUUAUAAUUCAGGCUUUAGUUCAAGAGUAAAUAAACAAUGCUUCGCUCAAACUCACUCACUUGCAGUGUCAGUUGUGUUUGUGAUCCUGUGCACUAACUCAAACACUUCCCAAAAGCCUUUUACUUUAGUUAGUGUGACCUGACCUCAUUCUCUCUCUGGUUUCUCAGUAGGAGUGUCUGCCACUCUUUGUUGGACUACACAAACUUUUUAAUUAUUUUGUGUUUUUUUGCCAAUAAAGUCGUUUGUUAUGAAGCUGUCUUAUGUAUUGAUUAUGUGUUUGACUUCACUGGAGAGAAUGCACACGCUGAUAACACGUUUUGGAGACGUCGGUAUGGAUCAUCAUUGAAAAUUUCUGAUUGAUCGUUAUUAUCUUAUGUCCAAAUUUUCCCUUUGCAGGAAAGACACAUUUUACAAAAAAUAAAUGGUACAUAUAGUGGGAUCUUUUGGACAAGUUUAAUUUGAUACUUAAGCGAUUUUAGUAUUGCACUUUCACAAAGUUGGG
ensembl:lncRNA